rnacentral:rRNA from 1 species
UCAGAUUGAACGCUGGCGGCAGGCCUAACACAUGCAAGUCGAACGGAAACAUGUCUAGCUUGCUAGAUGAUGUCGAGUGGCGGACGGGUGAGUAAUGCUUGGGAACUUGCCUUUGCGAGGGGGAUAACAGUUGGAAACGACUGCUAAUACCGCAUAAUGUCUACGGACCAAACAGGGCUU